rnacentral:rRNA from 1 species
CAGCCGCCGCGGUAAUACGAGGGGGGCAAGCGUUGUUCGGAAUUAUUGGGCGUAAAGGGCGCGUAGGCGGUUUGACAAGUUUGGUGUGAAAUCUAUGGGCUCAACCCAUAGCCUGCAUCGAAAACUGUCGGGCUUGAGUAUGGGAGAGGUGAGUGGAAUUUCCGGUGUAGCGGUGAAAUGCGUAGAUAUCGGAAGGAACACCUGUGGCGAAAGCGGCUCACUGGACCAUUACUGACGCUGAGGCGCGAAAGCUAGGGGAGCAAACAGGAUUAGAGACCCCCGUAGUCCCUGUCUCUUAUAC